AGUCUGUGUGUCACGGUGUCAGUUCAUCACUCGCGGUGUUUAACUGGCUUUAUGUAAGCAGCGGUAAUUCCAGCUUUAGAAGCAUAUAUUAAAAUUGUUGCGGUUAAAAUGCUCGUUGAUUAGUCUGUGUGUCACGGUGUCAGUUCAUCACUCGCGGUGUUUAACUGGCUUUAUGUGAUACGUUCUUAGUCUGUAAACUUCGUGAAUGGAUAAUGGAAUAGAAACUCGGUUCUGUUUUGUUGGUUUCCAGAGUUCCGAGGUAAUGAUUAAUAGGGACAGGUCAGGACAUUAACUGGCUUUAUGUGAUACGUUCUUAGUCUGUAAACUUCGUGAAUGGAUAAUGGAAUAGAAACUCGGUUCUGUUUUGUUGGUUUCCAGAGUUCCGAGGUAAUGAUUAAUAGGGACAGGUCAGGACAUUUUUAUUGCGUUGUUAGAGGUGAAAUUUUUGGAUCGUCGCAAGACGGACAGAAGCGAAAGCCAAAGUGUUUUCCUUAAACCAGAACGAAUAUUAGAGUUCCGAAGGCGAUCAGAUACCGCAAUAGUUCUAACUACAAACUAUGCCAGCUAGCGUUCCGCCGAAGUUACUCAGAUGACUCGGUGGGCAGCUUUCGGGAAACAAAGCUUUUGGUUUCCAGGAAAUGUAUGACAGCAAAGCUGAAUCUUGAAAAAAUUAGCGGGAGGACACCACUAGGUGUGGAGCCCGUGGCUUAAUUUGUCUCAACACGGGGAACCUCACCAGGCCCGGACACCGGAGGAAUUGCCAGAUUGAUAGCUCUUUCUUUAUUCGAUGGGUGGUGGUGCAUGGCCGUUCUUAGUUGGUGGAGCGAUUUGUCUGGUUAAUUCCGAUAACGAACGAGACUCUAGCCUGCUAAAUAGACGCAACUUAUGGUAGGUCUCGAAGGCCCUCGGCUUCGUUCAGUUGGUUUUUACUACCAACGUGCAGACAAAUCAUUUUAGAGGAACAGGCGGCUUCUAGCCGCACGAGAUUGCUCAGUAACAGGUCUGUGAUACCCUUACAUGUUCUGGGCCUCACGUGCGCUACACUGAAGAUAUCAGCAUGUUUUCCCUGGCCCAAAAGCAUAAAUUGAAUACGCUGAACCUCCUUCGUGCUGGUGAUUGCAGAUAUUCCUCAUUAACAGGGAUUUCCAAGUAAACGCGAGUCAUAUGCUCGUGUUGAUUACAUCCCUGCCCUCUGCUCAUAUCGCCCGUCGCUACAACCGAAAUACUAAAUGAUUAAGUGACGUUCUCGGACUGUUGUGCAGCCAAUGCUUCGGAAUUGCCGAUGUUGCACAGAAGAUGUCCAAUCUUGAACAUUUAGAGGAAGUAAAAGUCGUAGCAAAUUUACCGUAGGUGAACUUGUGGAAG
rnacentral:rRNA from 1 species